rnacentral:rRNA from 1 species
UACGUAGGCAGCGAGCGUUGUUCGGAGUUACUGGGCGUAAAGGGUGUGUAGGCGGUUGUUUAAGUUUGGGGUGAAAUCUCCCGGCUCAACUGGGAGGGUGCGCCGAAUACUGAAUGACUUCGAGUGCGGGAGAGGAAAGUGGAAUUCCUGGUGUAGCGGUGAAAUGCGUAGAUAUCAGGAGGAACACCGGUGGUGUAGACGGCUUUCUGGACCGUAACUGACGCUGAGACACGAAAGCGUGGGUAGCAAACAGG